rnacentral:misc_RNA from 1 species
AAAAGGAAGACCUCGCCCGGUUCAUCCUCGACGUACGCGAGGCGCGCGGCAUCCCCGUCGUACUCGUCGAGCACGAUAUGGGUGUGGUCAUGGACCUCGCGGACCGCAUCUACGUACUAGAUUUCGGGAAAAUGAUCGCGACCGGAACGCCCGCCCAGAUUCAGCGGGACCCGCUGGUCAUGAAAGCUUACCUGGGCGAAA